rnacentral:tRNA from 1 species
GGAGGCGUGGUGUAGCCGGCCUAACACAUCUGCCUGUCACGCAGAAGAUCACGGGUUCGAAUCCCGUCGCCUCCGCCA